UACAGAGGGGGCAAGCGUUGUCCGGAUUUACUGGGCGUAAAGAGCGCGCAGGCGGUCGGAUCAGUCGAAUGUGAAAGCCCCCGGCUCAACUGGGGAGGGUCAUUCGAUACUGUCCGACUCGAAGGCAGGAGAGGGAAGCGGAAUUCCCGGUGUAGUGGUGAAAUGCGUAGAUAUCGGGAGGAACACCAGUGGCGAAGGCGGCUUCUGGACUGUAACUGACACUGAGGAACGAAAGCCAGGGGAGCAAACGGG
rnacentral:rRNA from 1 species